rnacentral:rRNA from 1 species
UACCUUGCAGCGCGAACUGGCGGACUUGAGUGCACGCAACGUAUGCGGAAUUCAUGGUGUAGCGGUGAAAUGCUUAGAUAUCAUGACGAACUCCGAUUGCGAAGGCAGCGUACGGGAGUGUUACUGACGCUUAAGCUCGAAGGUGCAGGUAUCGAACAGGAUUAGAUACCCUGGUAGUCCGCACGGUAAACGAUGGAUGCCCGCUGUUAGCGCCUGGCGUUAGCGGCUAAGCGAAAGCAUUAAGCAUCCCACCUGGGGAGUACGCCGGCAACGGUGAAACUCAAAGGAAUUGACGGGGGCCCGCACAAGCGGAGGAACAUGUGGUUUAAUUCGAUGAUACGCGAGGAACCUUACCCGGGCUUGAAUUGCAGACGCAGGAUACAGAGAUGUCGACUCCCUUCGGGGCGUCUGUGAAGGUGCUGCACGGUUGUCGUCAGCUCGUGCCGUGAGGUGUCGGCUUAAGUGCCAUAACGAGCGCAACCCCUUUCCUUAGUUGCCAUCAGGUGAUGCUGGGCACUCUGGGGAUACUGCCACCGCAAGGUGUGAGGAAGGUGGGGAUGACGUCAAAUCAGCACGGCCCUUACGUCCGGGGCUACACACGUGUUACAAUGGCCGGUACAGAGGGACGGUGCGAUGCAAAUCGCAUCCAAUCUUGAAAGCCGGUCCCAGUUCGGACUGAGGUCUGCAACCCGACCUCACGAAGCUGGAUUCGCUAGUAAUCGCGCAUCAGCCAUGGCGCGGUGAAUACGUUCCCGGGCCUUGUACACACCGCCCGUCAAGCCAUGAAAGCCGGGGGUGCCUGAAGUUCGUAACCGCGAGGAGCGACCUAGGGCAAAACUGGUGAUUGGGGCUAAGUCGUAACAAGGUAGCCG